GCUAUUUUUUACACAUGCGAAACUGAACAUUGUGUGAUGUCCAAAACAAAUUAGAGAGGUUUAUAUUAGAUAUCCUGGUGGGAAGAGCCACAGAGCUUCUGUCCAGUCAAAUUGAAAAUACCACUUUGACUGGGAUUACACAAAGACUUGUUUAACCCUUUUGUUUCAUUCUAGUUUUCCCACACCCCAUGUGAGUCGCCAGAAAGUGUGUCUGAAAAGGACAGAAAACUGUAUUCAGGAUAAGUACUUUUCAUCUAUUGUGUUGGAAAUUAUUUUCGAGUAAGAAUCCUGUAUUAUAACUUAUACAUUUUCAAAG